GGCAGGGCGCAUGCCUAUACAUGCAAGUCGAGCGGACAGAUGGGAGCUUGCUCCCUGAUGUUAGCGGCGGACGGGUGAGUAACACGUGGGUAACCUGCCUGUAAGACUGGGAUAACUCCGGGAAACCGGGGCUAAUACCGGAUGGUUGUUUGAACCGCAUGGUUCAGACAUAAAAGGUGGCUUCGGCUACCACUUACAGAUGGACCCGCGGCGCAUUAGCUAGUUGGUGAGGUAACGGCUCACCAAGGCGACGAUGCGUAGCCGACCUGAGAGGGUGAUCGGCCACACUGGGACUGAGACACGGCCCAGACUCCUACGGGAGGCAGCAGUAGGGAAUCUUCCGCAAUGGACGAAAGUCUGACGGAGCAACGCCGCGUGAGUGAUGAAGGUUUUCGGAUCGUAAAGCUCUGUUGUUAGGGAAGAACAAGUGCCGUUCAAAUAGGGCGGCACCUUGACGGUACCUAACCAGAAAGCCACGGCUAACUACGUGCCAGCAGCCGCGGUAAUACGUAGGUGGCAAGCGUUGUCCGGAAUUAUUGGGCGUAAAGGGCUCGCAGGCGGUUUCUUAAGUCUGAUGUGAAAGCCCCCGGCUCAACCGGGGAGGGUCAUUGGAAACUGGGGAACUUGAGUGCAGAAGAGGAGAGUGGAAUUCCACGUGUAGCGGUGAAAUGCGUAGAGAUGUGGAGGAACACCAGUGGCGAAGGCGACUCUCUGGUCUGUAACUGACGCUGAGGAGCGAAAGCGUGGGGAGCGAACAGGAUUAGAUACCCUGGUAGUCCACGCCGUAAACGAUGAGUGCUAAGUGUUAGGGGGUUUCCGCCCCUUAGUGCUGCAGCUAACGCAUUAAGCACUCCGCCUGGGGAGUACGGUCGCAAGACUGAAACUCAAAGGAAUUGACGGGGGCCCGCACAAGCGGUG
rnacentral:rRNA from 1 species